rnacentral:ncRNA from 1 species
UAAAAUUCUAUGAUUAGGAAAAGUAUUCUUAAAAAUUAAUUUUAGCGAGUAAAAGAGGGUGGGAGUUUUACAUUAAUUUAAGAAGAAAAUAGAGCCUAUGAGAAGCUAUGUGAAAAGAGGUAAAACUCGUAGUAACAUAUGCCGCAAUAAAUGCGUUAAAAUAUUUGAGAGGAUAGGUAAAAUCGAAAUUUUACUUAUCAAUUAGAGUGGUACCGCGGAUAUAUCCGUCUCUAUA